CCCCGAGACAAAUAAUAAAAGUUGUGAAGGUCCCUCUAUACAGCCUCAUCUUGUACAAGUGAUAGAUCAAGAGGUAGAAAUGCCUCAGGAUUUGAGUUUCUCAGUGAAAAGCAAGAAAAGGAAUGGGAAGAAAAGCCGUAAAGCCCAUGAUUGUAAUAAUGAAGUGUGCGACUUUCUGUUGGUACUUCUGUUAUGGAAAGUAAUAUGCCAACAGUAGAUCCAUAUAUACAGCCUUCUAUUGAAAUAUCAUUGGAGCAGCUUGUUGCGGAGCCAGUUGUGGAGGCAAUGAGUACAACAUCAAACUAAAAAAGUCCCAAACCUAAUGCAGAUUUCGGCUGCCCACAAGAAACAAAGAAAAAGAAGCAAAAGAGAAGCCACAAAACCAAUGAGAAUAAAGAGCUAUCAGUGGAAACAAUGAUGCCAAAAGCAGAUCCAUCUUUUUAGCCUUCCCUUGCAAUGUUCUCUGAACAAGAAUUAGAUGUGUCACAACCACUUAAUGUUGAUGCAGAACCACUUGUGGAGGGAAUGCGCAGAACAAUAAACUCAGAAAAGCCCAGGCCGAAUGCAGAUUUUAACUGCUCACAAGAAACAAAGAAGAAAAAGCGAAAGAGAGAGGUAUUAAUGGAACCAAUGAUGCCAGAAGCAGAAUCAUCUCUUCAGCCUUCUCUUACAAUGCUCUCUGAACAAGUAAUAGAGGUGGUACAACCACAUAGUGCAGAUGCAGAACCACUUGUCGAGGGAAUGAGUACAACAAUAAACUCGGAAAGUAGUCCCAAGCCCAAUGUAGAUAUUAGCUGCUCACAAGAAAUGAAGAAAAAAAAUCCAAAGAGAAAGCGCAAUUCUUGUGAAAAUAUAGAGCUAUUAGUGGAAAUAAUGACGCCAAAAGCAGAUCCAUCUCUUCAGCCUCCUCUUCCAAUAUUCACUGAACAAGAGGUAGAGGUGACACAUCCACUUAAUACUGAUGCACAACCACUUGCGGAGGGAGUGAGCAGAACAAGCUCAGAGAGUCCCAAGCCCAAUGAAGAAUUUAGUUGCUCACUAGAAACGAAGGAAAAGAAUCCAAAGAGAAAACGCAAAACCAAUGAGAAUAAAGAGCUAUUGGUGGAAAUAAUGAUGCCAGAAGCAGAUCCAUCUCUUCAGCCUCAGCUUGCAAAAUUCUCUGAACAAAAGGUAAAGGUGGCACAACCGCUUAAUACUAGUACAGAGUGGCAAGAUACCAAGUUUGAUGAAGUUCCUUCCUUGUCACAUUUGGCUCCAAAAGCUGAUACUGAAGUAAUUGCUAUCAGUAGAGAGGGCAGUCUUUUGCAGAUGGAAAACUCUUCACCUGAAAGAUGUCUUCUUAAGUGUUCUCAGAAAAAGCUUCUCAUUCUCGAUAUUAAUGGGCUGCUUGCUGAUAUUGUGGAAGGUUCUAUCCCGAGUAGUUUUAAACCAGACAAAAUCAUAUCAUGGAAAGCAGUUUUUAAGAGGCCAUUUUGCGAUGAUUUUAUACAGUUCUGCUUUGACAGAUUUGAUGUGGGUGUGUGGUCUUCAAGAAUCAAGAAAAAUGUGGACUCGGUGAUAGAUGCUCUUAAAGAUUUAAAGACGAUCUUCGGUGAGAACAGCAAAAAAGGAGCAUAUUUUCUCACAUCUGCUACUGCUACUGUUCAUUCAAUUAAAUUAGCAAGCAUGGACAGAAGCAGAAACUUUUCCAAGUGCUCUUGUUUCAAUGCUUUUGAAAUUGCCAAAGCUCAAAUUUGCGAUUGUGACCUUGGGUGAAGAUGGAUGCAUAAUGCUUGAGAGAAGUGCAGAAGAGGCUCCUCAGAUGGAAGGAAUGGAGGUGGACAGCUUAUUUGAAGCGUUGAAGCAGAGAAAGGAUGAUAGCAUAACCAGACCAACCUAUAUUUCAUCUGUGUUGGCUGUGCAUGAGGCAGUGUUGGUAUUGCUUGCUCUCCGUGUUUGCUUUGGAGAAGGACACAUCUUCAUUCUUUUGGGUUUUGGUGUUCGCUCGACAGAGAGAGAAAGAAAAAAGAGAGCGAAUAGAACAGGGGAAGAAGGGAGAGAACACAGAGAAGCGGAAGAGGGGGACGAGAAGCUCUCAGGUUUUUGUUUUGAUUGCGCAAGAGUUUUGCUAUUUUCUUUUUUUUCGGAAUCAAAACCCGAUCUGUUUGUAGGUAUUGGUAUUUUUUUUCCCCUGGAAUUUCUGGGUUUGCUGUGUUUGCAUGGUUUUUGCGAUCAUCUGAAUGAUGAGUUUGAUUGUAUGAGCUUAAUGUCUGUGUUCAAGGCGUGUGAAGCGCUGGUUUUUGUCUGUAUUCAUGGUUUUUGGUAUUAGAGUGUCUGAUGAUAAUGAGUUCGAUUUGUCUUUUGUCUAGAAUCUCUUCUUUUUUGCUUCUGGGGCUUCCUAUUUGCUGAUUUCGGUGAGUUGUUUGUGUUCUAUUUUGUAUUGGAAUGGUAUUUUUUUUUGUUUUGAUUUUGGUGGAUUCAGGUCUAAUCGAUUUUUUAUUUUUAUUUUUAAUUUUGUUUCUGCUUUUGCUGUUCAUUCUCUUCCCGUUGCCGUUGCUGCUCUCCGGUUUUGUUGUUCGCUCUGCAUGCAUCGAUUGGCUCUUCAUUCUCUUCUUUAGCUUUUUUAGUUCUUCAUAUCUUUUGUUCAAAUCCUUUUGAGUUUGGUUAUUUGCAUAAGGGGUUUGUCUUAUAUGCAUAUGUUGCAUGUUUGAGCUGAGAAUAAAUUAGACGGUUGAUGCAUAUGGUGCACAUUGCACAAACCUUAAAUUGCAGAAUGCCUAUUUGAAAUUGCAGAAUGGUUGAAUCAUUUGUUAAUUGAUGUUUUAGUUCCCAUGCUUUUUUAGUUCCAUAUUCUGGUUGUGGAUGAUAGCAUCAUACAUAGGAAGGUCAUUGAAAAGCUAUAUAAUAUUUCUUGCUUUAAAGGUAGCUAGAUGUCUGUGAAUGAGUCACUGCAAGAAACAUUGGAUUUUGUUUUGCAGUGACUGCUUUUGAUAGUGGAACCGGGGUUUUAAGAUAACUACGGUGUUUCAUAUUUACUAAUCAAAAGGAGAAUAAUGAUGCAAUAGCUGAAAAUAUUAAACAGGUAAAUAUUCACAAUUGAUCUCCUUUUCAUUGAAUUUGUGCGUUCAGCUUAAACAGCUAAAAAGAAUGUCAUGUGCUCAUAUUUCUUAUGAUGAUCUAGCUUUACAUUUCAGUUAGCUUAAGGCUCUAUAUCUUAUGUAUAUAUAGAUUGUGAGCAGGUUCUGAAUAUAAAGAAAAACAAAUUAAGACAAACACAUAGGCAUGGAAAUAAAAAAAACAAAAACCACAUCUAAAUGGAACCCUUGCUCAACUGACAUAAAAGCAUAGGAUACUUCAUUAGCAGGAUGCGUCAGCAAAAGACAUAUUAAAUCAGAAGCAUACUUAGUAUUUCUGUAAUAUAUAUGAAUCUGCAUAGCUUUUGUGUAUUGUAUUAAAUAUUCGCAUGAGAAACAAUCAUGCAUAUACUCCCACAUUUCAAGAAAUCACAUAUGUUAGGGGUUUUAAAUUGACUUCUGUAUGACUUUGAGGAUAAGGUUCCAACUUGAUUAUUGAGCAUGAAAGGGCAUUUGGAUAUUGUUCCUGUUGCAUUCAUAAACCCUGCUCCCCUAUCUUGAAGCAUAACUCACCCCACAGAAUAUUGCUUUCCCUGUAGCGUUGGGCCCUAGAAGUGCCUUAUUGGAAUCACUAGGAAAGACCUUUUGUAAUACACAUCAGUGUUCCACCAUGUUUAAAAGUGAUAGAAUAGUCAUCACCUAGGGCCACCUAUUGACUUGUACGUGGAUAAAAAACAGAGUGAGGGUUGAACUGAGUUUAUAAAAUGGAAGGACGUUGAAAGUUGGGGAGAUGGAGCAGAGACAAGGCUUUUCAAGCUGAGGUGGUUUCAAGUUUAGGACGAUGAUAGAAAUUGGGAAGCGUUUCACCCAUUCUGUCUUUUC